UACGAAGGGGGCUAGCGUUGCUCGGAAUCACUGGGCGUAAAGGGUGCGUAGGCGGGUCUUUAAGUCAGGGUGAAAUCCUGGAGCUCAACUCCAGAACUGCCUUUGAUACUGGCGACCUUGAGUCCGGGAGAGGUGAGUGGAACUGCGAGUGUAGAGGUGAAAUUCGUAGAUAUUCGCAAGAACACCAGUGGCGAAGGCGGCUCACUGGCCCGGUACUGACGCUGAGGUGCGAAAGCGUGGGGAGCAAACAGGG
rnacentral:rRNA from 1 species